AAUUCAGAUUGUUUACAGUUGAACAUGUAGUUGUAAAUCAACAUAUACAUAGUAUCCCAAUAUUUUAUCCCUAUUUUUGGUUUGUCCUUGGACCUUUUUAUGAUAUUUAAAACAGCAAACAAGCUGACGGCCCGCCUGAUAGAAAGUGGUAACCGUCAUUUUUAGACAUAAGUACUAUAGGCAGAAUGCACAGUGAUUCCCUCAUGCAUUGCUAUUCUUGAAGACUCACUUACACGCGCAACUACUCUUUGAAAUCAACUUCCAGCAGCAGUAUUUCCGAACCGAUACAACAACGUAACCUUCAAGGAAAGAGCAUAUUCCUUUUUAAAAGGCCGGCAGCACACCUGCAAUACCAUUGGUGUUGUGGGUGAUCAUGGGCGGCGGUAGUCACUUACUAUCAGCGACCCAAAUCCCCGCGGCAACGAGCUGCCGGAGCUGUCGACCCUGCAGUGGCCGGCCAUGACUCCGACGGCGCGCAAGUACCUCAAGUUCGACCGACAGUUCACAGUCGAGGAGAACAUGUUCGAGGACAGGUUCAAAGUGUGGGAAGAACUGUACCCUGUUGAAUAUUAAAGUACAGUUUGAUUAAAGAAAACCAACUUUUGUUAUACUCGGUUAAUGAGAAUCAAUAAACACUAUUUAAUUUGGAUA